UUACUGGGCGUAAAGCGCGCGUAGGUGGCUUGAUAAGCCGGUUGUGAAAGCCCCGGGCUCAACCUGGGAACGGCAUCCGGGAACUGUCAAGCUAGAGUGCAGGAGAGGAAGGUAGAAUUCCCGGUGUAGCGGUGAAAUGCGUAGAGAUCGGGAGGAAUACCAGUGGCGAAGGCGGCCUUCUGGACUGACACUGACACUGAGGUGCGAAAGCGUGGGUAGCAAACAGGAUUAGAUACCCUGGUAGUCCACGCCGUAAACGAUGUCGACCAGCCGUUGGGUGCCUAGCGCACUUUGUGGCGAAGUUAACGCGAUAAGUCGACCGCCUGGGGAGUACGGCCGCAAGGUUAAAACUCAAAUGAAUUGACGGGGGCCCGCACAAGCGGUGGAGCAUGUGGUUUAAUUCGAUGCAACGCGAAGAACCUUACCUACUCUUGACAUCCUGCGAAUUUGGUAGAGAUACCUUAGUGCCUUCGGGAACGCAGAGACAGGUGCUGCAUGGCUGUCGUCAGCUCGUGUUGUGAAAUGUUGGGUUAAGUCCCGUAACGAGCGCAACCCUUGUCCUUAUUUGCCAGCGCGUAAUGGCGGGAACUCUAAGGAGACUGCCGGUGACAAACCGGAGGAAGGUGGGGACGACGUCAAGUCAUCAUGGCCCUUACGAGUAGGGCUACACACGUGCUACAAUGGUCGGUACAAAGGGUUGCCAACUCGCGAGAGUGAGCCAAUCCCGAAAAGCCGAUCUCAGUCCGGAUCGGAGUCUGCAACUCGACUCCGUGAAGUCGGAAUCGCUAGUAAUCGUGGAUCAGAAUGCCACGGUGAAUACGUUCCCGGGCCUUGUACACACCGCCCGUCACACCAUGGGAGUGGACUGCACCAGAAGUGGUUAGCCUAACGCAAG
rnacentral:rRNA from 1 species